rnacentral:rRNA from 2 species
GCCCUAGUAACGGCGAGUGAAGCGGCAACAGCUCAAAUUUGAAAUCUGGCGCAAGCCCGAGUUGUAAUUUGUAGAGGAUGCUUCUAGGUAGCGACCGGUCUAAGUUCCUUGGAACAGGACGUCAUAGAGGGUGAGAAUCCCGUAUGUGACUGGCCCGCACCUUCUACGUAGCUCCUUCGACGAGUCGAGUUGUUUGGGAAUGCAGCUCUAAAUGGGAGGUAAAUUUCUUCUAAAGCUAAAUACCGGCCAGAGACCGAUAGCGCACAAGUAGAGUGAUCGAAAGAUGAAAAGCACUUUGGAAAGAGAGUUAAAAAGCACGUGAAAUUGUUGAAAGGGAAGCGCUCACAACCAGACUUCUAGGCAGUGUUCCGCCGGUCUUUUGACCGGUCUACUCUCUGUCUCGAGGCCAACAUCAUCUGGGACCGCUGGAUAAGACCUUAGGAAUGUAGCUCCCCUCGGGGAGUGUUAUAGCCUCUGGUGAUGCAGCGAGUCUCGGGUGAGGUCCGCGCUUCGGCAAGGAUGUUGGCGUAAUGGUUGUCAGCGGCCCGUCUUGAAACACGGACCAAGGAGUCUAACAUCUAUGCGAGUGUUCGGGUGUCAAACCCCUACGCGUAAUGAAAGUGAACGGAGGUGGGAAGCGUAAGCUGCACCAUCGACCGAUCCUGAUGUCCUCGGAUGGAUUUGAGUAAGAGCAUAGCUGUUGGGACCCGAAAGAUGGUGAACUAUGCCUGAAUAGGGUGAAGCCAGAGGAAACUCUGGUGGAGGCUCGCAGCGGUUCUGACGUGCAAAUCGAUCGUCAAAUUUGGGUAUAGGGGCGAAAGACUAAUC